rnacentral:lncRNA from 1 species
AUUUUUCAGUGGAAAUAUGAAAUAAAAGGAUACUUUUAUUUCUCAACAACAGUUUACUUCAUUUCUUAGAUUAAUUUUAGAACGGAAACGUAACUUGAUGUAAUUUUGUUUCUCAUCAAGCACGGCAUAAAAGAGGAAUUAAUCAUUAUUCAGCAAAAUUGUCCACUUUUUGUUUAAUUAUGAUUCCUCUAUCUCUCUCUCG